rnacentral:rRNA from 2 species
UCAUGAUUUACAUUUGAGUGAGUGGCGAACUGGUGAGUAACACGUGGGAAACCUGCCCAGAAGCGGGGGAUAACACCUGGAAACAGAUGCUAAUACCGCAUAACAACUUGGACCGCAUGGUCCGAGCUUGAAAGAUGGCUUCGGCUAUCACUUUUGGAUGGUCCCGCGGCGUAUUAGCUAGAUGGUGGGGUAACGGCUCACCAUGGCAAUGAUACGUAGCCGACCUGAGAGGGUAAUCGGCCACAUUGGGACUGAGACACGGCCCAAACUCCUACGGGAGGCAGCAGUAGGGAAUCUUCCACAAUGGACGAAAGUCUGAUGGAGCAACGCCGCGUGAGUGAAGAAGGGUUUCGGCUCGUAAAACUCUGUUGUUAAAGAAGAACAUAUCUGAGAGUAACUGUUCAGGUAUUGACGGUAUUUAACCAGAAAGCCACGGCUAACUACGUGCCAGCAGCCGCGGUAAUACGUAGGUGGCAAGCGUUGUCCGGAUUUAUUGGGCGUAAAGCGAGCGCAGGCGGUUUUUUAAGUCUGAUGUGAAAGCCUUCGGCUCAACCGAAGAAGUGCAUCGGAAACUGGGAAACUUGAGUGCAGAAGAGGACAGUGGAACUCCAUGUGUAGCGGUGAAAUGCGUAGAUAUAUGGAAGAACACCAGUGGCGAAGGCGGCUGUCUGGUCUGUAACUGACGCUGAGGCUCGAAAGUAUGGGUAGCAAACAGGAUUAGAUACCCUGGUAGUCCAUACCGUAAACGAUGAAUGCUAAGUGUUGGAGGGUUUCCGCCCUUCAGUGCUGCAGCUAACGCAUUAAGCAUUCCGCCUGGGGAGUACGGCCGCAAGGCUGAAACUCAAAGGAAUUGACGGGGGCCCGCACAAGCGGUGGAGCAUGUGGUUUAAUUCGAAGCUACGCGAAGAACCUUACCAGGUCUUGACAUACUAUGCAAAUCUAAGAGAUUAGACGUUCCCUUCGGGGACAUGGAUACAGGUGGUGCAUGGUUGUCGUCAGCUCGUGUCGUGAGAUGUUGGGUUAAGUCCCGCAACGAGCGCAACCCUUAUUAUCAGUUGCCAGCAUUAAGUUGGGCACUCUGGUGAGACUGCCGGUGACAAACCGGAGGAAGGUGGGGAUGACGUCAAAUCAUCAUGCCCCUUAUGACCUGGGCUACACACGUGCUACAAUGGAUGGUACAACGAGUUGCGAACUCGCGAGAGUAAGCUAAUCUCUUAAAGCCAUUCUCAGUUCGGAUUGUAGGCUGCAACUCGCCUACAUGAAGUCGGAAUCGCU